CCCCUAGAUGUUCUGGGCCGCACGCGCGCUACACUGAACAGUUCAACAAGUCUUAACCUUGGCCGACAGGCUCGGGCAAUCUUUGAACGCUGGUCGUGAUGGGGAUAGACUUUUGCAAUUUUUGGUCUUCAACGAGGAAUUCCUAGUAAACGCAAGUCAUCAACUUGCAUUGAUUACGUCCCUGCCCUUUGUACACACCGCCCGUCGCACCUACCGAUUGAAUGGUCCGGUGAAGCCUCCGGAUUGGCGCGCACCUCGGUGCCGCCGAGAAGUUGGCUAAACCUUACCAUUUAGAGGAAGGUGAANUCGUANCA
rnacentral:rRNA from 1 species